GGGCACAUGGUGUAGUUGGUUAUCACAUCCGCUUAGCAUCACAGGGAGGCUUCUGCGGGGGGUGCUGGGUUCAAUUCCCAGUGUGUCCA